rnacentral:rRNA from 1 species
GCUCAACCGUAGUAAGCUCUUGAAACUGGGAGACUUGAGUGCAGGAGAGGAGAGUGGAAUUCCUAGUGUAGCGGUGAAAUGCGUAGAUAUUAGGAGGAACACCAGUUGCGAAGGCGGCUCUCUGGACGGUAACUGACGCUGAGGCACGAAAGCGUGGGGAGCAAACAGGAUUAGAUACCCUGGUAGUCCACGCUGUAAACGAUGAGUACUAGGUGUCGGGGGUUACCCCC